CCCUGUAUCGAAAGUGAUUAUGGCGUCUGUGUUGCCAGGUCAUUUAUAAGCAGGAAGAUCAAAUUGAGAGCCUUUCCCGUGUUUGAAGGAAUGCCUCUUCCUAUCAAACCCUGAUGCUCUCAGACA